GAUGAACGCUGGCGGCGUGCCUAAUACAUGCAAGUCGAGCGAACGGACGAGAAGCUUGCUUCUCUGAUGUUAGCGGCGGACGGGUGAGUAACACGUGGAUAACCUACCUAUAAGACUGGGAUAACUUCGGGAAACCGGAGCUAAUACCGGAUAAUAUUUUGAACCGCAUGGUUCAAAAGUGAAAGACGGUCUUGCUGUCACUUAUAGAUGGAUCCGCGCUGCAUUAGCUAGUUGGUAAGGUAACGGCUUACCAAGGCAACGAUGCAUAGCCGACCUGAGAGGGUGAUCGGCCACACUGGAACUGAGACACGGUCCAGACUCCUACGGGAGGCAGCAGUAGGGAAUCUUCCGCAAUGGACGAAAGCCUGACGGAGCAACGCCGCGUGAGUGAUGAAGGUCUUCGGAUCGUAAAACUCUGUUAUUAGGGAAGAACAUAUGUGUAAGUAACUGUGCACAUCUUGACGGUACCUAAUCAGAAAGCCACGGCUAACUACGUA
rnacentral:rRNA from 1 species